AAGUCGUAACAAGGGUUCCGUAGGUGAACCUGCGGAAGGAUCAUUACCAUGGCGUGAGAAGGUGAUGGACAUACUGGUAACCCCAGGAGUUAAUCCCUUCACGCUCUUCUACCCUUGUCUAUUUGUACCCUUUGUCGUUCCCUCGGCGGGUCUUGAACCUGCCGGCGGCAACUUUCAAAACCUCUUGCAGUAGUAUCUAAUUCUUCUGAUUCAAAUAUCAAAUUAUUACAACUUUCAACAAUGGAUCUCUUGGUUCUG
rnacentral:misc_RNA from 1 species